rnacentral:rRNA from 1 species
GAUGAACGCUGGCGGCGUGCCUAAUACAUGCAAGUCGAGCGAAUGGAUUAAGAGCUUGCUCUUAUGAAGUUAGCGGCGGACGGGUGAGUAACACGUGGGUAACCUGCCCAUAAGACUGGGAUAACUCCGGGAAACCGGGGCUAAUACCGGAUAACAUUUUGAACCGCAUGGUUCGAAAUUGAAAGGCGGCUUCGGCUGUCACUUAUGGAUGGACCCGCGUCGCAUUAGCUAGUUGGUGAGGUAACGGCUCACCAAGGCAACGAUGCGUCGCCGAGCGGAGAGGGUGAUCGGCCACACUGGGAAUGAGACACGGCCCAGACUCCUACGGGAGGCAGCAGUAGGGGAUCUUCCGCAAUGGAGGAAAGUCUGACGGAGCAACGCCGCGUGAGUGAUGAAGGCUUUCGGGUCGUAAAACUCUGUUGUUAGGGAAGAACAAGUGCUAGUUGAAUAAGCUGGCACCUUGACGGUACCUAACCAGAAAGCCACGGCUAACUACGUGCCAGCAGCCGCGGUAA